GACGAACGCUGGCGGCGUGCUUAACACAUGCAAGUCGAACGGAAAGGUCCUGCUUUUGUGGGGUGCUCGAGUGGCGACCGGGUGAGUAACCCGUGUGUAACGUGUCCUUGCCUUUGGGAUAACUUCAGGCCACUUGGGCUAUUACCGGGUAGGAUCUCCUGGUGCAUGGUCGGGGUGGGAUAGUUUCGGCGGUUGGGGGUGUACUCGCGGCUUAUCCGCUUGUUGGUGGGGUAGUGGCUUACCAAGGCUUGGACGGGUAGCCGUCCUGAGAGGGGGACCGGCCACAUUAGGACUGGGAUGCGGCCCAGACUCCUACGGGAGGCAACAGAGGAGAAGAGUGUACAAGAGGCGGAAGCCUGAUGCAACAACGCCGCGUGGGGGAUGACGGCCUGCGGGUAGUAAUCCACUCUCGCCUGUGACGAGACGAGAGUGACGGUAAUAGGAAAAGAAGCACCGGCUAACUACGUG
rnacentral:rRNA from 1 species